AUUGAACGCUGGCGGCAUGCUUUACACAUGCAAGUCGAACGGUAACAGGCCUUCGGGUGCUGACGAGUGGCGAACGGGUGAGUAAUGCAUCGGAACGUACCCAGAGGUGGGGGAUAACGCAGCGAAAGCUGUGCUAAUACCGCAUGUGAUCUGAGGAUGAAAGCGGGGGACCGAGCAGCAAUGUUUGGCCUCGCGCCUUUGGAGCGGCCGAUGUCGGGUUAGCUAGUUGGUGGGGUAAAGGCCUACCAAGGCGACGAUCCGUAGCUGGUCUGAGAGGACGACCAGCCACACUGGGACUGAGACACGGCCCAGACUCCUACGGGAGGCAGCAGUGGGGAAUUUUGGACAAUGGGCGCAAGCCUGAUCCAGCAAUGCCGCGUGCGGGAAGAAGGCCUUCGGGUUGUAAACCGCUUUUGGCAGGAACGAAACGGUGUCCGCUAAUACCGGGCGCUAAUGACGGUACCUGCAGAAUAAGCACCGGCUAACUACGUG
rnacentral:rRNA from 1 species